AUGCUUCAUGUUCACGUUCCUGACGCAAAAACACAAGCUCCAACUGUAGCAAGACAUGCUAACAGAAGAGGAGUAUCACAAGUACAGGGAUACCCAUUAGGAGUUGUUUGCACUAGAAUCUUGUUCUCAAGAGGGCAAACACAGUACAGAAUUCCUUAUUCUCAAGAGGAAUACUUUUUUUUUUAA